CCUACGGGUGGCAGCAGUGGGGAAUAUUGCGCAAUGGGCGAAAGCCUGACGCAGCGACGCCGCGUGAGGGAUGAAGGUCUUCGGAUCGUAAACCUCUGUCAGCAGGGAAGGACGGUCACUGUGCUAAUCAGCAGUGAAUUGACGGUACCUGCAAAGGAAGCACCGGCUAACUCCGUGCCAGCCGCCGCGGUAAUACGGAGGGUGCGAGCGUUAAUCGGAAUUACUGGGCGUAAAGCGCUCGUAGGCGGUAUGUCAAGUCAAGGGUGAAAUCCCCGCGCUCAACGUGGGAACUGCCUUUGAAACUGGCAAACUGGAGUGUGUGAGAGGAUAGUGGAAUUCCAGGGGUAGGAGUGAAAUCCGUAGAUAUCUGGAGGAACAUCAGUGGCGAAGGCGACUAUCUGGCACAUAACUGACGCUGAGGAGCGAAAGCGUGGGUAGCAAACAGGAUUAGAUACACUUGUAGUC
rnacentral:rRNA from 1 species